AAUCAGUUUGAAAGGGUCAGGUAAUGAGUAAUUACCUGACUCAGUAUAAGGCAUCUUCAUUUAUCCAUUUGUAAAUGGACAAAUCAGAACAUCAGUCUCGCAUGAAAAUGUUUUUACUGGAACUUGCUGAGCAGAAUUUGAGCUUCAGACCUUAGUCUUGCAAUGCAGAGAAGGCCUUUGACAACUUGAACUGGGACUUUAUGUACGCAUCAAUGGAAAAGAUGGACCUAGGCAAAGAAUUUAUAGAAGAGCAGAGUCACCUGGGCUCAGGAGCACAUGGUCUGCAGCUGCUAGAGGAGGUUCCAGGGGAGAUCCGGGAAAUUACAGGCCAGUCAGCCUGACGUCAAUACCGGGUA